GACGAACGCUGGCGGCGUGCCUAAUACAUGCAAGUAGGACGAGUUGCGAGCGGGUGAGUGACGCGUGGUAACCUGCCUAUUAGAGGGGGGUAACUGUUGGAAACGAUAGCUAAUACCGCCUACUAGUGAUUGGACCUUCGUUGUAUUAGCUAGUAGGUAGGGUAAUGGCCUACCUAGGCGACGAUACCUAGCCGACCUGAGAGGGUGAUCGGCCACACUGGAACUGAGACACGGUCCAGACUCCGACGGGAGGCAGCAGUGGGGAAUAUUGCACAAUGGGCGCAAGCCUGAUGCAGCCAUGCCGCGUGUAUGAAGAAGGCCUUCGGGUUGUAAAGUACUUUCAGCGGGGAGGCGUUACCCGCAGAAGAAGCACCGGCUAACUCCGUGCCAGCAGCCGCGGUAAUAC
rnacentral:rRNA from 1 species